AUCACUUGGGGACCUGUUGAAAUGCAGGUUCUGAUUCAGUAGGUCUGGGUAGGGCCUGAGAUCCUGCAUUUCUAACAAGCCCCCAGUGAUGCUGC
rnacentral:pre_miRNA from 1 species